GCAAGUCGAACGAGAACGGGUAUUAGCUUGCUAAUACUGUCAGCUAAGUGGCGCACGGGUGAGUAAUAUAUAGUUAACCUGCCCUAGAGAAGGGGAUAACGUUUGGAAACGGACGCUAACACCCUAUAUGCCUUUAAUACAUAAGUAUGCAAGGGAAACAUUUAUGGCUCUAGGAGGGGACUGUAGGGUAUCAGUGAGUGGGUGAGGGAAUGGAACAACAAGACAAUGACACCUAGCUGGUUUGAGAGGAUGAGC
rnacentral:rRNA from 1 species